GACGAACGCUGGCGGCGCGCUUAACACAUGCAAGUCGAAUGGAUUGCUUGGUGCUUGCACUGAGUGGUUAGUGGCGAACGGGUGAGUAACACGUGAGUAACCUGCCCCCUUCUUUGGGAUAAGCACCUGAAAGGGUGUCUAAUACUGAUUAUUCUGCUGGAAUCGCAUGGUUUUGGUUGGAAAGGUUUUUCUGGUGGGGGAUGGGCUCGCGGCUUAUCAGCUUGUUGGUGGGGUAAUGGCUUACCAAGGCUUCGACGGGUAACCGGCCUGAGAGGGUGACCGGUCACAUUGGGACUGAGAUACGGCCCAGACUCCUACGGGAGGCAGCAGUGGGGAAUAUUGCACAAUGGACGAAAGUCUGAUGCAGCGACGCCGCGUGAGGGGUGAAGGCCUUCGGGUUGUAAACCUUUUUCGCUUUUGACCAAGGCAGCAUUUUGGCGUUGUUGAGGGUAUGAGGUAAAGAAGCUCCGGCUAACUACGUGCCAGCAGCCGCGGUAAUAC
rnacentral:rRNA from 1 species